rnacentral:rRNA from 1 species
AGUGAACGCUGGCGGUAGGCCUAACACAUGCAAGUCGAACGGCAGCACAGUAAGAGCUUGCUCUUACGGGUGGCGAGUGGCGGACGGGUGAGGAAUACAUCGGAAUCUACUUUUUCUUGGGGGAUAACGUAGGGAAACUUACGCUAAUACCGCAUACGACCUACGGGUGAAAGCAUGGGAUCUUCGGACCUUGCGCGUUUGAUUGAGCCGAUGUCGGAUUAGCUAGUUGGCGGGGUAAAGGCCCACCAAGGCGACGAUCCGUAGCUGGUCUGAGAGGAUGAUCAGCCAAACUGGAACUGAGACACGGUACAGAAUCCGACGGGAGGCAGCAGUGGGGAAUAUUGGACAAUGGGGGCAAGCCUGAUCCAGCAAUACCGCGUGGGUGAAGAAGGCCUUCGGGUUGUAAAGCCCUUUUGUUGGGAAAGAAAAGCAGCAGGUUAAUACCCCGCUGUUCUGACGGUACCCAAAGAAUAAGCACCGGCUAACUUCGUG